AGUGAACGCUGGCGGUAGGCCUAACACAUGCAAGUCGAACGGCAGCACAGUAAGAGCUUGCUCUUACGGGUGGCGAGUGGCGGACGGGUGAGGAAUACAUCGGAAUCUACUUUUUCGUGGGGGAUAACGUAGGGAAACUUACGCUAAUACCGCAUACGACCUACGGGUGAAAGCAGGGGAUCUUCGGACCUUGCGCGAUUGAAUGAGCCGAUGUCGGAUUAGCUAGUUGGCGGGCUAAAGGCCCACCAAGGCGACGAUCCGUAGCUGGUCUGAGAGGAUGAUCAGCCACACUGGAACUGAGACACGGUCCAGACUCCUACGGGAGGCAGCAGUGGGGAAUAUUGGACAAUGGGCGCAAGCCUGAUCCAGCCAUACCGCGUGGGUGAAGAAGGCCUUCGGGUUGUAAAGCCCUUUUGUUGGGAAAGAAAAGCAGCAGGUUAAUACCCCGCUGUUCUGACGGUACCCAAAGAAUAAGCACCGGCUAACUUCGCG
rnacentral:rRNA from 1 species